rnacentral:rRNA from 1 species
AUUGAACGCUGGCGGCAUGCCUUACACAUGCAAGUCGAACGGUAACAGGCCUUCGGAUGCUGACGAGUGGCGAACGGGUGAGUAAUACAUCGGAACGUGCCCAGACGUGGGGGAUAACGAGGAGAAAGCUUUGCUAAUACCGCAUACGAUCUAAGGAUGAAAGCAGGGGACCGCAAGGCCUUGGGAUUUUGGAGCGGCUGAUGGCAGAUUAGGUAGUUGGUGGGAUAAAGGCUUACCAAGCCGACGAUCUGUAGCUGGUCUGAGAGGGCGACCAGCCACACUGGGACUGAGACACGGCCCAGACUCCUACGAGAGGCAGCAGUGGGGAAUUUUGGACAAUGGGCGAAAGCCUGAUCCAGCAAUGCCGCGUGCAGGAUGAAGGCCUUCGGGUUGUAAACUGCUUUUGUACGGAACGAAAAGGCUCUGGCUAAUACCUGGGGCACAUGACGGUACCGUAAGAAUAAGCACCGGCUAACUACGUGCCAGCCGCCGCCGUAACAC